CCUACGGGGGGCAGCAGUGAGGAAUAUUGGUCAAUGGACGAGAGUCUGAACCAGCCAAGUAGCGUGAAGGAUGACUGCCCUAUGGGUUGUAAACUUCUUUUAUAUGGGAAUAAAAUGUUCCACGUGUGGGAUUUUGUAUGUCCCAUAUGAAUAAGGAUCGGCUAACUCCGUGCCAGCAGCCGCGGUAAUACGGAGGAUCCGAGCGUUAUCCGGAUUUAUUGGGUUUAAAGGGAGCGUAGGUGGAUUGUUAAGUCAGUUGUGAAAGUUUCCGGCUCAACCGUAAAAUUGCAGUUGAAACUGGCAGUCUAGAGUACAGUAGAGGUGGGCGGAAUUCGUGGUGUAGCGGUGAAAUGCUUAGAUAUCACGAAGAACUCCGAUUGCGAAGGCAGCUCACUGGACUGCAACUGACACUGAGGCUCGAAAGUGUGGGUAUCAAACAGGAUUAGAUACCCCAGUAGUC
rnacentral:rRNA from 1 species